rnacentral:rRNA from 1 species
CCCUUAGAGUUUGAUCCUGGCUCAGGACGAACGCUGGCGGCGCGCCUAACACAUGCAAGUCGAACGAGAGAUGAGGAGCUUGCUCUUCAAAUCGAGUGGCGAACGGGUGAGUAACGCGUGAGGAACCUGCCUCAAAGAGGGGGACAACAGUUGGAAACGACUGCUAAUACCGCAUAAGCCCACGGCUCGGCAUCGAGCAGAGGGAAAAGGAGCAAUCCGCUUUGAGAUGGCCUCGCGUCCGAUUAGCUGGUUGGUGAGGUAAUGGCCCACCAAGGCGACGAUCGGUAGCCGGACUGAGAGGUUGAACGGCCACAUUGGGACUGAGACACGGCCCAGACUCCUACGGGAGGCAGCAGUGGGGAAUAUUGCACAAUGGGGGAAACCCUGAUGCAGCGACGCCGCGUGGAGGAAGAAGGUCUUCG